UACGAAGGGGGCUAGCGUUGCUCGGAAUUACUGGGCGUAAAGCGCACGUAGGCGGCUUUCUAAGUCAGGGGUGAAAUCCUGGAGCUCAACUCCAGAACUGCCUUUGAUACUGGAGAGCUUGAGUCCGGGAGAGGUGAGUGGAACUCCGAGUGUAGAGGUGAAAUUCGUAGAUAUUCGGAAGAACACCAGUGGCGAAGGCGGCUCACUGGCCCGGUACUGACGCUGAUGUGCGAAAGCGUGGGGAGCAAACAGG
rnacentral:rRNA from 1 species